AGGGGUGUAGCUCAGUGGUAGAGCACCUGCCUGGCACACACAGGUCCUGGGUUCCAUCCCCAGGACCCCAA
rnacentral:tRNA from 1 species